AGAGUUUGAUCCUGGCUCAGAACGAACGCUGGCGGCGUGCUUAACACAUGCAAGUCGAACGCGAAAGGUUCUUUCGGGAACUGAGUAGAGUGGCGCACGGGUGAGUAACGCGUAAGUAAUCUACCCUGGUAUCUGGAAUAACUCAUCGAAAGGUGUGCUAAUACCGGAUACGUUUAUCUUGAUACGUUGGUUUACCAAGAAAGGAGGCCUCUGCAUAUGCUUCCGUACCAGGAUGAGCUUGCGUACCAUUAGCUAGUUGGUAGGGUAAUGGCCUACCAAGGCGACGAUGGUUAGCGGGUCUGAGAGGAUGAUCCGCCACACUGGAACUGAAACACGGACCAGACUCCUACGGGAGGCAGCAGUGAGGAAUAUUGCGCAAUGGGCGAAAGCCUGACGCAGCAACGCCGCGUGAGUGAUGAAGGCCUUCGGGUCGUAAAGCUCUGUCAGUGGGGAAGAACCGCCGGGUGGUUAAUACCCAUCGCGAUGAUUUGACGGUACAAUAAGAGGAAGCACCGGCUAACUCCGUGCCAGCAGCCGCGGUAAUACGGGGGGUGCAAGCGUUAUUCGGAAUUAUUGGGCGUAAAGGGCGCGUAGGCGGUCUUGUCCGUCAGGUGUGAAAGCUCGGGGCUCAACCCCGGAAGUGCACUUGAAACAGCAAGACUUGAAUACGGGAGAGGAAAGCGGAAUUCCUAGUGUAGGGGUGAAAUCCGUAGAUAUUAGGAGGAACACCGGUGGCGAAGGCGGCUAUCUGGACCGAUACUGACGCUGAGACGCGAAAGCGUGGGGAGCAAACAGGAUUAGAUACCCUGGUAGUCCACGCCGUAAACGAUGAGUACUAGGUGUCGGGGGUAUUGACCCCUGCAGUGCCGUAAGCUAACGCAAUAAGUACUCCGCCUGGGAAGUACGGCCGCAAGGCUAAAACUCAAAGGAAUUGACGGGGGCCCGCACAAGCGGUGGAGUAUGUGGUUUAAUUCGACGCAACGCGAAGAACCUUACCAAGGCUUGACAUCCCGUGACAGCCAUGGAAACAUGGUCUUGCAAGUUUACUUGCACACGGAGACAGGUGGUGCAUGGUUGUCGUCAGCUCGUGUCGUGAGAUGUUGGGUUAAGUCCCGCAACGAGCGCAACCCUUGUCCUUAGUUGCCAUCAUUAAGUUGGGCACUCUAAGGAGACUGCCGGUGUCAAACCGGAGGAAGGUGGGGAUGACGUCAAGUCCUCAUGGCCCUUAUGUCCAGGGCUACACACGUGCUACAAUGGCCGGUACAAAGGGUUGCAAAGCCGCGAGGUGGAGCCAAUCCCAAAAAGCCGGUCUCAGUUCGGAUUGGAGUCUGCAACUCGACUCCAUGAAGUUGGAAUCGCUAGUAAUCGCGGAUCAGCAUGCCGCGGUGAAUACGUUCCCGGGCCUUGUACACACCGCCCGUCACACCACGAAAGUCUGCAACACC
rnacentral:rRNA from 1 species